AUACGUAGGUGGCAAGCGUUGUCCGGAAUUAUUGGGCGUAAAGCGCGCGCAGGUGGUUCCUUAAGUCUGAUGUGAAAGCCCACGGCUCAACCGUGGAAUUGCACUUGAUACUGCAUUGCUUGAGUUCGGGAGAGGGUAGUGGAAUUCCAGGUGUAGGAGUGAAAUGCGUAGAGAUUUGGAGGAACACCAGUGGCGAAGGCGACUUUCUGGUCUGUAACUGACACUGAGGCGCGAAAGCGUGGGGAGC
rnacentral:rRNA from 1 species